GACGAACGCUGGCGGCGUGCUUAACACAUGCAAGUCGAACGGAAAGGCCCUGCUUUUGUGGGGUGCUCGAGUGGCGAACGGGUGAGUAACACGUGAGUAACCUGCCCUUGACUUUGGGAUAACUUCAGGAAACUGGGGCUAAUACCGGAUAGUAGCUCCUGCUGCAGGGUGGGGGAUGGAAAGUUUCGGCGGUUGGGUAUGGACUCGCGGCUUAUCAGCUUGUUGGUGGGGUAGUGGCUUACCAAGGCUUUGACGGGUAGCCGGCCUGAGAGGGUGACCGGCCACAUUGGGACUGAGAUACGGCCCAGACUCCUACGGGAGGCAGCAGUGGGGAAUAUUGCACAAUGGGCGGAAGCCUGAUGCAGCAACGCCGCGUGCGGGAUGACGGCCUUCGGGGUGUAAACCGCUUUCGCCUGUGACGAAGCGUGAGUGACGGUAAUGGGUAAAGAAGCAACGGCUAACUACGUG
rnacentral:rRNA from 1 species